CAGGGCCGCCCCCUCGCAGCAGCUCCCGGAACUGGGCACUUUCCGCCUUGUUUUUCGCCUGUUUUGGGGUUGUUACUUUUCUUUUCCAGUGCAGAAAAAAAACAGGCAGCAGUGGGUAAAUCCUUCCCCCCCCCCGCAGGCCGUCUGCGAGCUGCGACCCGUCUGUGGGAGCCCCGGGAACGGACGCACCUUCCUCCCCGGCCUGCAAGGGUCUCCACAGACUCAAAUCCCAGGACAGGAUCACUGCAUCUUCUGACGUCUUGUUUGAAGCUGCCAAGGAGAUGUGGACAGAAUUGCGGCGAGCGCACAGUGUGUAUAUUUCCCUCUGGGUAACCAUCAUGGUUGAUGAGGCUGAGGUUUGAGAAAUGUAUCUGGAUAAGCUCUAUGGCACGAUGGCCCUUACUCCUCAGAAAGAUUUUCUCCAGCUGAAUUGGCAACACCUCUGUCCUGUCUUCUUUGAAGUAAAUCAUUCAAGGGCAUCAUACAACUGGCGAAGAAGGUGCUAAAUGGCGAGCAAACAAGAAGAUCAUGCAACGCGUCUAGUUUGGGUGUCUGCCUUAGUCUUCUGGAAACUGCUGUGUUGCCCUUGUAUUUUUCUCCACACGUGAAACGGUGCUUGCACGAGUGGCCAAGUCGCACCCUCUGCUCCCUCCUCCCCUGCCCCGCAAAAAAGAAAAGAGGUUUUGUUUUUAAACUUCUUGAAAGCCUUUUGAGAAGUAUUAGCUCCAUAGGUGCUCUGUGUCCAUAAGAAGCAGUGAGCGGCAUCCCUCCUUUUCAGAUAGGUUGGAAUUGAUGCACUGAUCGGGCACGGGUUCGAGAAAGAAACUGCCCCGUCCUUCUGCAUCAUCUGUGGCUGAGACAUGCUGAGCCUUUACCUUUCUCUGAUUCUUGACAGUGCCUACAAAUGCGUCCAAACAAGAAGAAAUACACCAUGCCAAGGUAUAUGCAUUUUUUCAAAAGAAUCAAGGUAAUCACCCAUUAGUUUUCCUUUUUUUUCGCACAAAGCUGUCCUUUAAGAGCUUAGGUAAAUAGUGAAUGAUUUUAGCUCUUCCUCCCCCUCUCUGUGCAGUGUACUGUUGCCGAGUUAAACUGAGUUUUGCCUAAUCCAAGGCGGGGGUGUCUCUGGGGCUUUGCAGUUCUGGUCUUAGCGACUUAGUAAGCUGCAGCUCUCCUCAUGCUAUUUUGGAGCACUUGAUUUGUGCCUUCCACUUGGGUUUCACUCAGCUAGGAAGUACUGUGUUCAGCUGAAAGAGCAAACAUUUUUCUAGGGCUGUGGCGAUUUUUUGCUUCCAACUCACUUAUACAAAUAUAAAGGCAGAUGAUGAUGUUGGUU
rnacentral:lncRNA from 1 species